rnacentral:rRNA from 1 species
GGCGGGUGCUAUACAUGCAAGUCGAGCGGACAGAUGGGAGCUUGCUCCCUGAUGUUAGCGGGACGGGUGAGUAACACGUGGGUCCUGCCUGUAAGACUGGGAUAACUCCGGGAAACCGGGGCUAAUACCGGAUGCUUGUUUGAACCGCAUGGUUCAAACAUAAAAGGUGGCUUCGGCUACCACUUACAGAUGGACCCGCGGCGCAUUACUAGUUGGUGAGGUAACGGCUCACCAAGGCAACGAUGCGUACGACCUGAGAGGGUGAUCGGCCACACUGGGACUGAGACACGGCCCAGACUCCUACGGGAGGCAGCAGUAGGGAAUCUUCCGCAAUGGACGAAAGUCUGACGGAGCAACGCCGCGUGAGUGAUGAAGGUUUUCGGAUCGUAAAGCUCUGUUGUUAGGGAAGAACAAGUGCCGUUCAAAUAGGGCGGCACCUUGACGGUACCUAACCAGAAAGCCACGGCUAACUACGUGCCAGCAGCCGCGGUAAUACGUAGGUGGCAAGCGUUGUCCGGAAUUAUUGGGCGUAAAGGGCUCGCAGGCGGUUUCUUAAGUCUGAUGUGAAAGCCCCCGGCUCAACCGGGGAGGGUCAUUGGAAACUGGGGAACUUGAGUGCAGAAGAGGAGAGUGGAAUUCCACGUGUAGCGGUGAAAUGCGUAGAGAUGUGGAGGAACACCAGUGGCGAAGGCGACUCUGGUCUGUAACUGACGCUGAGGAGCGAAAGCGUGGGGAGCGAACAGGAUUAGAUACCCUGGUAGUCCACGCCGUAAACGAUGAGUGCUAAGUGUUAGGGGGUUUCCGCCCCUUAGUGCUGCAGCUAACGCAUUAAGCACUCCGCCUGGGGAGUACGGUCGCAAGACUGAAACUCAAAGGAAUUGACGGGGGCACAA